AUCUCCUAGAGGGAUGCUCUUCUUCUGCGCAGACGCGGUCCCUGUGGUUCCUAUGGGCAAUCCCCAUGACAUCUGCCGUGAUCACCACGCCCAUCUUAGAGUGAGGAGCUGCCCCCUACUCAGCUGUGUAUCAUCUCACUCUGAUUGAGGGCAGCUUAUUAGUGAGCCGCACAGCUGAUGUGUCAGCGUGAGCUCUGCCAGAGGAAUCAUUCCUCGGUAUACUGAGGCAACAGCAGGUCAUAGUAUCUGGACUAUACAGAUCUCCUGGGCAAUUUAUCUGCCCUAUUCCCGGCAGUUAUUAUUGCAACUAGAAUCAGUAUAGUAUUGACAGAAAUCUCUUGGGAUGAAUUAUAUCCAUCUCUUCUGAGACUACCUCAUCAUCAACCUUCCCAUUUUUUCUAUCAUCAUUUUAAUCAGUACCUGCUUGCCUCCGGCUCCUCUUCCUCUAUAGGCUUGCAUCCAGGCUCUGUGCAUUGCACGG